AUAUACAUAUAAAGUAAGCCCUGCCCGGUGAUACUUUUAACGGCGGCCUUAGCGUGAGGGUCCNAAGGUAGCAUAGUAAUUUGGCCUUUAAUUGGGGUCUUGUAUGAAUGGGUUAACGUAAUAAUUACUGUGUCACACGGAUACAUAUAAAUUAAGUUUAAGGUGAAGAUGCCUUAAUUAUAAAGAAAGACGACAAGACCCUAUGAAGCUUUAUUUAUUUAAUAAUUUUAAAAUUGUUUGAUAAAUUUGUUGGGGCAACAAAGUGAUACUACAUUACUUUUUAAAAUUUUACUUUCAUGUCUUAUCUUAAUUUGUGAUGUUGAUUAGCUACUCUAGGGAUAACAGCGCAAUUUAUUUUUUAAGUUCUUAUUUUUAAAUAAGGUUGCGACCUCGAUGUUGGCCUUGGA
rnacentral:rRNA from 1 species